GUUUUUCUUUGAUUGCUUUUUGCAGUCUUUCCAGGCGGGUGUUGUAUGGAUCAACUGCUCACAGCCAUGCUUUUGUCAAGCUCCAUGGGGAGGGAAAAAACGUAGUGGUUUUGGGCGUGAAUUAGGAGAAUGGGGACUUGAUAAUUAUUUGAGUGUGAAGCAGGUGACUCAAUAUGUCUCUGAUGAACCAUGGGGAUGGUACCAAUCUCCUUCAAAGCUGUGAGUGUCCCUGAAACAGAAAUUGGAAAUCACGUGUACCAAAUGAGAGAGAAUAAGGUUGGAGUGAUGUAGUUUACUAAGGUCUAUGUAAAAGACCUUGUAAUAAUAUAAAAACGUGAAUUGGUAGAACUCGUUUGUGAGAAUAUUUGUUUGCCAUUUGUGUUUUUCUUUCAAAGUCUUCAGGCUACCAAGGACUAUAAUUGCAUGGCAUUAACCUGUUUGGUGCCUGCGCAUGCCAUUGAGCGAAUGGUUUUGUAAUGGUAGUCUACGGUUAGACUACCUCAAAAGGCCUCAUUGGCAUGCUUUGUUGAAUAAUAAGGAGAAAACUUUAGUAGUACUAUUCUCUCA